AUUAUAAAUUUUAUAAAAAUAUCAUAGUUUUUUAAUAAAAUUUGAAUUAACAUUAAUUUAUGAUAAUGUUAUAUUACAAAUUAAGUAAUUAUGAAAUAAAUUGAUGAAUUAAUUUAUUAAAGUAUUUAAAAAAUCAAUAAUAUUUUGCAAGAUUUUGUUUUCAAUAAAUUUUGUUAUAACUAAAAAUAAAAUUUAAACUGAUCAUUUAAAUUGAUUUAUUAUUAUUAUCAUUAUUAAGGUUUUCUAAACACAUAAUAUAUUCUAUUGAUUAAUGUAAAUUAUCAAAUAAAUCAUAUUAAAUAACUAAUUAAUAUUUAACCACACAACUUAAGGUAACAAGAAUUACAUUAUAUCCAUAAAUAAUACAAAAAGUGUCAAGCAGAUGGUUUUACUAUGGAUUUUAUGGUCAGAAAGUAUCAUAGUACUCCGGUAUCAGUAAAUGUCAAGAUUAUAAAUAAUUCAAUGGUGUUACAAUAAUCAACACAUGUUUUGGUGCAUAUAAAUAGAGAACACAUAUUUAUAUUGUGUACAUUGAUAACCCAGAACAUAUGUUUUCUGGCCAAAUAGGUUAUUUUUGACAAUAAAUAAAACAAAUGAGUUCUUGUUUAAAACAAAUUCAAGAUCUUAAAUUUUGAAAAGCUCAAGAGAAAUGUCUAUGGAUUACUACAUAGUACUAAUUACUAAAUGAUAUUAUAAAUUAUAACAUUGGACUUCUCAUAUCCAUAGCUCGUAGUUUCAAAACAAACAAAAACUAUAAUCUAUUUAUAUAUUUAGUCAUACACACAGAUAAGGCUAAGAGUGGAAAACAUAUAUUAAACGGUUCUCACAACUAGGCCUAGGAUUUAUUAUCCGAAAUCCAGAUUCGAUCCGAGAUCCGCUCCAGAUUCGUUCCGAAAAUAGGAUAUCCGGGGUGCCCGGAUCGAAAUCCAGAUAGUAAAAUCUUGGAUCCGUACAAACCAAAUCCGGAUCCGUAUUUUUAAAAUACAUUAAAUUUUUAAAUUUUAUUAAUAUUAAUAUUUGAUAUAUUAAUAUUUAUACAUGAAUUAAUCUUAUAGUAUUAUAUUUUAGUUUUUACAAUAUUAUAAACAUAUAAAUAUAUUUAUAAAUAUUUAAUUUAUGUAUUAUAUUAAAAAAAUUAGUAUUUUUUGUUUAAAAAUUUAUUUUUAAUUAUUUUAACGGAUCCAGAUCUGGAUCCGUCCCAAGGCUACUCACAACUAGUGGAGAAUCCACAUCAUAAUUUUAAAUUUUCCAUUCAAUAAAAUUAUUUAUCUAGUUACACUUAACGGAUGAGACACCAUAAAUAGUAAGGCAGUUCUUUAUUAUGAAGAAAAGUGAAGAACCACAGUGAUCAAAGUACACUUGCUAUGCGGUGUUUUAAGUGGUUCUUGUAUUAUACUUUAGUUAUUUUAAAUUCAAUUAUAAAUUAAUAUAUACUACACGUUCAACUAAAAACUAAAAUUCAGCUAUGAAUUAAUACAUACUAUAUAUCUUAUUAUUUGACAUUAUACUUUAUUUUCUUGACAAUGUGUAAUUUUCUUUCAGAAAAAAUAAAAUAUUUAAAAUUGAUUAUUUAUAAUUAUUUUAAAGCAUAAAAAGUACAUAUAUAUAUAUAUAUAUCUAUAUUAUUUUAAAGCUAAACAUAUUAUAUAUAUAUAUGUUUAAAUUAUUUUUAUUAAAUUUUGAAAAGUAUUUAUACUUAUUGAAAUUAUUUUUUAUUUAUAAAGUAUUAUUAAAAUAACUCUUUUUAAUUAUGAAAAUAAAUAGCAAUAUAAAAUUUUAUGUAAAUUAUUUUAAAUUUAUACAAGUAAUUUGAAGAGUUAUUAACAUAAAUAGACACAAUAUGUCUUUUUAUUACAUAGGAGAGCACAAUGUGCUACUAAGGUACUUUCUAGUGGUUGAAUACAUGUUUGUUCUCCAUAAAGCAAACUAAGUGUGGGUAUUUGGGUAAUUAGACAUUUUCAUUCUAGUUGGGCUGGUUAGGGAAUUUAAAUUUUAAUUUUUUUAGGUUUCAGGUAGUGGACGUGAAACAGAUGUAAAAUUGAGUUUUUAGUUUUGCACAAACCUGUAAAAAAAAUAAAACGCCGUAGGAGAAGACAGAGACCGCAAUUUCCGACGGAGCGACGAAUGAGAUUUCUCAUGGACAGAGAAGAUGAUGUCAUCGCGAAAUAGGAGAGUUUCAAAGGGCAAAGCGAAAGAGAUAGCGGAACCACAUGAAGGAGCAGUCACGGUUGUUUGCGACAGACAUAUACCCAAGCAAAAGGCACAAUUGUAAUUCAUUGUUGGAGUAUCUUCUUAUGGUAAGGGGUGUGCUUGAAAGGACAUAAGAGAUGGAGAAGCUUCUGGGCUUGUGCUUUGUCCACCUGUUUAGGCUAAAAACAAAAAGGGUAGUAUUUUUUUGGGGUGGGGGUGGGGUUGUACAUAUUGCAUAGUAAAGUAUUCACAUGUACACAUAAUUUCCAUUAAGUGCAUAUUAUUAACUAUCCACAUAUACAUUGUUUCGAGGAACAACAUUGGUUUAUAAUGUACACUAGCUAUCAACAAACGUUCACAUGUACACAAAUGUGAAGGUGGUUGUGUACGGGGGUAUAUAGGUAUGUCCAAAAAGAAGAAGGAUGGAGGUGAGUGAAUGCGCAAUCGUAGAAGAAGGUCUGGUGUAUAUAUGAUUCACUACAGUCAGAUUGUUCGAGGAUGAUGUUUUGAUUUGGAUAGAACAUAUGUGUAUUUUUGUUUUGUGUAUACAAAUUGUAGCUUGUAGCUUGGCAUUGUUGUACACGUGGACAGCUCGUAGCUCCAUGAUGUACAGUUGACAUAGUUGUACACGUGGACAACUUGUAGCUUAGUGUGAUUCUGAAAAUCUAACUCCGUAGGAAACUGUAAGAACUGUGAUUGUGUAAUUUUGUUACCAAUUUUCCACAUCUCAUAGAACUAGGCAGUAGAAACAUGGUUAAUAUAAUGUAGUUGAUGGGAAGAGCGUACAUGUGUACGGUUGAGGCAGUGUAGGGGGUGUAUAGAUAGAUGAGGUUUCUAAACCAGCGUAACCAAGUUAGACAAAAUGUCCAGAAUAGAAAUCCGCGACUUGAUUAAAGUUUGUGGGCUAAAAGUAAAGUCAAUACAUAUUAAAGAAAUUUAUUCCAUUCGCCAACGAUAACCAUACAGUGAGCCGUCCGCCAUGGAAGAUACCUACAAGAAAUGAAAGGGUUUUUGUUCAAAGAGUUAAAAACUUGGAGUUACAGUAAACGACAUUAACAAAACAAGGUUAAUUAGCUCACAAACCACAACUUAUGAUCCAAUAAUCAGGUUUUGAUUUCUGAUGAAUUAUCUUGUUAACUUUGUGGGUGAUGAAGAUUGAAGAGGUAAGAGACAAGAAUGACAGGGGGAAAGAAGAUGGUGAAUUGUAGAAUUUGAUCUGGACCGUCAGAAAUAAGAAGUAGAUCUAGCGGUGGUUGUUAAAAGUUAGAUAUGUGUCUUGUCCAGAUUUGUAAUAUUAAAUCUCAGCCUUUGGCAAUAAAGGAAGAUCGACGGUUGGGAAUAAAUCCCGCCAAAAGAAUCAGUAGGAAGAAGCUUUAUAUUUGGUAUGUAACGAAAAAGGAAAAUGCUUAGUUAGGAUCCAACACUAGUUGUUAGAGAAAGUGUGUCUGUAUAACAAUGUGUCCCAAGGUGUAAUUAAAAGAAGGAAAGUGUCUUAGAGUGUAAAUCUUUCUAAUUUGAACCACUUUUUUGUCUAUUUCCACCACUUAAGCGUAACUUUUGAACCACUAGAUUAAUUUGUACACAUUUGAUAGAUCCACUUGAUCUAUUAAUAGACCUGCUUGAUCUGAUAGAUCCGUGACGUUUGAUCAGAUUUUUUCAUUCCGAGUCUAAAUCAGUCAUGGAGGAGACAGGUACGUUAUUGAAGACGUUGCAUUUAAACCAGGAUGUGUGUUUGUAUCUACCCUCCAUUUAUUAGAAACCAUUUUAACUAACGUAUCCUUGAAAGCACCUUCUUCGUCUUGUGCAUACUCACCACCAAUUUUGUAAUCAUGAUUCGUAAAUUCUGAACUCUCAAGUUUACAUGUCAUACCUAGAAAUUUAUAGCAAAUUGAAUAAUUAAUGUUGGCACGACGGAUAAUACACGCAUACAUAAUGUGAACCCAAACCUAAUUGUUCGUCCUCAUCCCCAACAUGAAAAUGACUCAUUAAAUAUUCAUUGUUAAUAAAUACUAAUAUAUGAGUGUAAUUUCAUCACAUGAUUUUUCAAUAACAUAUAUUAGGCGGAUUUGAGUAUUGAUUGUAAUACACCGAUAACAAAAAGUUACACAUUAUAGACUACAUGAUAUUCUUGUACAGUUGUACGUGAUAUAAUGGAUCAUGCAUUUGCCUUAUUUAUAGGCAGAUUGUUGUUUGUUUAUUUAUUUAUAUUAUUUAAUGUAUAUGAUAUAAUAUUGCUAGUGUUAAAUUCAUACUUAUUGUACAGAAUGAAGUAUGGGUACGGGGAAAUUGCCAUAUAUAAUAUAUAACUUGAUUAAACACAAAAAUAUAUUCCAAUUUAAAUCAAAUGCAAAACUAACUCAAAAGACUAGUAAAAUUACAAGUAACUUUUUAUGAUUAAACAAAAAACAUAAUGUAAUUUUAUGAAUAUAACCGUUGAAAGUCUUCUCGCGGCUCUGUAAGUCUUAA